AGUGAACGCUGGCGGUAGGCCUAACACAUGCAAGUCGAACGGCAGCACAGGAGAGCUUGCUCUCUGGGUGGCGAGUGGCGGACGGGUGAGGAAUACAUCGGAAUCUACUCUGUCGUGGGGGAUAACGUAGGGAAACUUACGCUAAUACCGCAUACGACCUGUGGGUGAAAGCAGGGGACCUUCGGGCCUUGCGCGAUUGAAUGAGCCGAUGUCGGAUUAGCUAGUUGGCGGGGUAAAGGCCCACCAAGGCGACGAUCCGUAGCUGGUCUGAGAGGCGGAUCAGCCACACUGGAACUGAGACACGGUCCAGACUCCUACGGGAGGCAGCAGUGGGGAAUAUUGGACAAUGGGCGCAAGCCUGAUCCAGCCAUACCGCGUGGGUGAAGAAGGCCUUCGGGUUGUAAAGCCCUUUUGUUGGGAAAGAAAUCCAGCUGGCUAAUACCCGGUUGGGAUGACGGUACCCAAAGAAUAAGCACCGGCUAACUUCGUGCCAGCAGCCGCCGUAA
rnacentral:rRNA from 1 species